GGUAGAUUUGCCUUACAUCCAUUUUUUCUCUAUUUGUCACGAUUUUCUUCGCCAGGUGGCCUCCCUCCGUUUCGUCGUUGCAAAGUAUCGGCUGGUGACCUCUGACCCUGACGUGGUUCUGCAGCUGACGCAUCUGCUGGACUUGGUGGAUAAUUUCCCGAAGUUUAGUGUUGGUGGCUUCUUCGUCGCCGCCAAAGCCAGGCUCGUUGAUAUUGCCAGUUUCAGCGCCACCUACCUUGUGAUAUUACUGCAGUUCAAGGGCGCAGAGAAGUAGUGUAAAAAAGGCUGCUGAAGUAAUAGAAGUAGAAUAUGGAACAAUUAUGGAUUGCUGUAG